GAGCCGAAUCUCUGAGAGGAGCGCGGACUGCAAAUCCGUGCGCGAGGGUUUGAUUCCCUCUCGGCUCU
rnacentral:tRNA from 1 species